GUGUUUAUGUCCACAGAUCAACCACCAGAAAGCAGUAAUAGUUGAUGGUCGGCACUCAGCACCCGCCGCCCUCCACCGAUCAGCUGUGAAGUAUAAUGCAGUUAUCCUCCUGGAGAGAAGGAGAUUUGGGUGAUGGCUCUCAAGAGGAAAAGUUACCUAACUUGUCUAUUAAGUGGUCACAGCAAGGGACAACCUAGCGUGGCAGUGACCAAGGAUGGCAAGUCACUCUCCUGUCUGAAGUUACUUGCUAUGGGAGGGAAGGGCCCUGCUUGGACACAGUGAGGUGAUGUGCUCCCCAGUAUGUGCUUCCCUUGCUUGAUUAGUCCAAAUAUAAGGUCUGCAUCAGGAGCUCCCUUUGGAUGUUGGUACUUUGGUCGGCGGUCUCGGUUGAAGUUCAUAGUAGCUGGACGCUGUGCCUGCAACAACAUGAAGUAAGAAAAAUCCUUGGUGCGUGGAGAAAAUUUAGGAUUCGAAAGAAGAAUUAAGAGUACAAGAAGCUAAUCAAAUAAGUGAGUAUGUGUGUGUAGGUAGAUUACAUUUUUCAUUUAAUCAUGAGAAUGAUGGUCCUGGGUAACCUUCUCAGUUUGCCAGGCUUAUCUCUUAUGACGUGUCAAUGGAUGUCCAACUGUAUAUCUGUCAAUCAAUACAAAGAAAUGAUUAUGAUUUGGCAUCUCUAAAUCGGUGCCUACUAUUGGCUAAUGGCCAGCAUGAACGAAACUUUUUAUAUUAUUCACACAAUUUCUUUGAACAAUGGAUGCAAUGUAUGUAUAUAUAAUAUGAUUGUAU